CCAGGUUGACCAAUUUGGUCAACCAAAGCCUAUAUGAGUCGGUGUCCCAAAUAUCAUGUUUGGCGACAACAUAGGAUUCGAUAUUCGAAUCGUAGUGACAUACAGUUCACUAGAUUGACUCAUGAAUUUCUCCAAGAUGCGCUUCAGUUCGCAUUCAUGAGGAGGUAUACACAAAAGAAUUCUUGUUCAUUCUCACAAUGUGUUUUCAAAUGAAAACCAUUAGCAUGAAUGUCUUUAAAACUUAACAUGGUUCCUUAGAAUGUUGUGGAUAGUUCCACUAUCUGCGAAGCACUCAAUGUCUCUAUAAGACAUAUCUACAAGUAGUAGAUAGGCGAGUAAAUAGUUUCACUUGAACCAUUUAGAAGGAUUGAAAGAAGCUACGAAAAGCUGCAAUCCCGAGAGUGCAUAAAAAUUUCCGCGCAGAAUGACCUUUGCGUACUAAAACAGCCAUAACUUCUUCGUUAAAAUAGAUAUGGAUGAACCGCAAAAAGUUGUGAAAACUAGACUCGUAGAGCUUUCCAAUGAUAUAAAGCUCACUGUCUGGUUCGUCCGGAGCUGUUCACAAAACUCAAACGAAGUUGACUGUCCAGAAGAGACAGAUUGCUGUUUUUCGCAGAUUUGGCAUGUGCGAAGUUGUGAAGCUUGCAGGUGGCGUGUAGGCUUUUGUAUUAGCCAAAAGUGACGUGUGUAUGAUCAAAACCAAGUCCUUUCGGUCGUUCUAAGGUCGUAAACUCCAUGACUAGUUAGCAAAAGCUCCCUGACAUGAACAUAAACUAACUCAGAGGACCUAGAGGAUCCGAUCAUGAUGAUAAUUUUCCAGCUUUGAGAAGUCUUCAACGUCUUUUGCAAGACGGCAAUUGGUUUAAUAGCGUAGGGGGAUCCAAAAUCAAAAGCUUUCGGUAACUCCAAGUCAAUAUGAUCAGGCAUGUCCGUGGAGGGUCGGUAGUGCGAGGCACACUUAAAACCACUAUCUCCUUAAUUUCGGACAAUUCUAAGACAUCACACUGAGCUUGGAUGAACCUAGUUGAACAAUUGAUGAUGAAAAAUCCGCUAUAGGGUAGAAGACUUAACCGGAAACACGUGGGCGAUCCUCCUUGAGGAUGCAUUGCCAUAAGUCACCUUCAAAGGAAAUGACUAAAAUCGGCACAAUAUGCCAUGUUUCUAAGGACGAUGUAAGUGUACAUCUUGAUUGUAAAUCAAUAUGAACCAUAAGAGAAGAAUAGUUUCACUUCGAAAAAAUUCUCAAGGCAUUCAUUAUUGCUAAUGUGAGUACAUCGAGGUCUCAAAUAGACAAAGGACGUCGAUACAACGCCUUAGUACAUAUAACUUGGAACGAAAAUCAAUGUCUAGCCGAUGACAUCAAAGUCAUGGGUAGCUAGAGCAAGAUCCGAAUCUUUGAAAUUCGCGAUCAUGAGGAUGACGUUCUUGUCCUCAUAUUGAUUUUCCAUACCUUUUUGUAUGCAUUCAAAAUUUAGGAGCUUGACAAUCUUGAACCAGUGAUCCGAAGAUCCACAACGGUUGCAUUGUUAUGAGUUAACGUGAGUAGUUUUGACAAAAUAGUGUCUAGACCGGGAGUGUCGCUAUUAGAGCCGGCGACACCUCCCCCUCUUUUCUAGACAUCGGCACGACAUUUUCCGCCGUUGCCAUGACCCAUAUUGUUGUCCCCACAUUAGGGGAUAAUCCUAAAUAAGUUUAUCAUAUUAGCGUAUAUACAAUUCCCGUUUGUAUGAUCAAAAUCAAGUCUCGUUGGUAAUUCCACACCAACUUGGAGGACCUAGAGAACUUGAUGAUGAUCGAAUCCGCUAAAGAUUAUGGAUCAUGAUGCCACAAAAGAUCAUCGACAAUAUGUAGUCAAUUAAGGUGGUAAGCAAUCCACUUGACUAAUAACUCGACAAGUAGAGUUAUAUGAACGUUUCGAGAAACGCUUCAUGAGUGCAUUCCACAGUACUUUGUGGUCAUUACUUUUGCACAGAUUGCCAUUGAAGGCUUUUGUCGAUGUGGCGCUUCAAAAACUUUGAGCGCAUGAGAUGUGAAAUCUCGGCAUCUAGGCUUGUUAGCCUGGGGGUCAAAACAUAUGAUUUAAUCCUUUCCAAUGAAAGGUUCCACAGAUACCAAACGAAGAUCCGCCUUAGGCAUCUAGUACGUCAAAACUCAAAGGAGCAGAAUGUUACAUUGCUCUUGCAUACAAACCAAGCUGUUAUGAGACUCGAUAGAGGUCACAAACGAUGCUUUUAAUGGUUUGUCC
rnacentral:lncRNA from 1 species